rnacentral:rRNA from 1 species
GACGAACGCUGGCGGCGUGCUUAACACAUGCAAGUCGAACGAUGAAGCGGCCAGCUUGCUGGUGGUGGAUUAGUGGCGAACGGGUGAGUAACACGUGGGCAACCUGCCCUCAGCUCUGGGAUAACUCCGGGAAACCGGUGCUAAUACUGGAUAUCGACUUCUGCUCGCAUGGGUGGUUGUUGAAAGUUUUUCGGCUGGGGAUGGGCCCGCGGCCUAUCAGCUUGUUGGUGGGGUGAUGGCCUACCAAGGCGACGACGGGUAGCCGGCCUGAGAGGGCGACCGGCCACACUGGGACUGAGACACGGCCCAGACUCCUACGGGAGGCAGCAGUGGGGAAUAUUGCGCAAUGGGCGGAAGCCUGACGCAGCGACGCCGCGUGAGGGAUGACGGCCUUCGGGUUGUAAACCUCUUUCAGCUCUGACGAAGCGAGAGUGACGGUAGGAGCAGAAGAAGCACCGGCCAACUACGUGCCAGCAGCCGCGGUAAUAC